UUUGGGCCCAACCUCCCAUCCGUGUCUAUUGUACCCUGUUGCUUCGGCGGGCCCGCCGCUUGUCGGCCGCCGGGGGGGCGCCUCUGCCCCCCGGGCCCGUGCCCGCCGGAGACCCCAACACGAACACUGUCUGAAAGCGUGCAGUCUGAGUUGAUUGAAUGCAAUCAGUUAAAACUUUCAACAAUGGAUCUCUUGGUUCCGGCAUCGAUGAAGAACGCAGCGAAAUGCGAUAACUAAUGUGAAUUGCAGAAUUCAGUGAAUCAUCGAGUCUUUGAACGCACAUUGCGCCCCCUGGUAUUCCGGGGGGCAUGCCUGUCCGAGCGUCAUUGCUGCCCUCAAGCCCGGCUUGUGUGUUGGGUCGCCGUCCCCCUCUCCGGGGGGACGGGCCCGAAAGGCAGCGGCGGCACCGCGUCCGAUCCUCGAGCGUAUGGGGCUUUGUCACAUGCUCUGUAGGAUUGGCCGGCGCCUGCCGACGUUUUCCAACCAUUCUUUCCAGGUUGACCUCGGAUCAGGUAGGGAUACCCGCUGAACUUAAGCAUAUCAAUAAGCGGAGGA
rnacentral:rRNA from 1 species